rnacentral:rRNA from 1 species
CCCUUAGAUGUUCUGGGCCACACGCGUGCUACACUGAGUGGAUCAGCGGGUCAGGUUGCGCGAAAGUGUUUCCUAAUCUUGAAAUCCGCUCGUGAUGGGGAUUGACGGUUGCAAUUUUCCGCCAUGAACGAGGAAUACCUUGUAAGCGCGGGUCAUCAUCCCGCGCUGAAUACGUCCCUGCCCUUUGUACACACCGCCCGUCGCUCCUACCGAUUGAGUGGUCCGGUGAGGCUUUGGGAUCUGAGCGGAAAGAGCGUUUCGCUGUUUCUGCUCGGAAAACUCAGUCGAACCUUAUCAUUUAGAGGAAGGAGAAGUCGUAACA